CGGAUAACAUACCGAAAGGUAUGCUAAUACGGGAUAAUAUAUUUGAGAGGCAUCUCUUAAAUAUCAAAGGUGAGCCAGUACAGGAUGGACCCGCGUCUGAUUAGCUAGUUGGUAAGGUAACGGCUUACCAAGGCGACGAUCAGUAGCCGACCUGAGAGGGUGAUCGGCCACAUUGGAACUGAGACACGGUCCAAACUCCUACGGGAGGCAGCAGUGGGGAAUAUUGCACAAUGGGCGAAAGCCUGAUGCAGCAACGCCGCGUGAGUGAUGAAGGCCUUCGGGUCGUAAAACUCUGUCCUCAAGGAAGAUAAUGACGGUACUUGAGGAGGAAGCCCCGGCUAACUACGUGCCAGCAGCCGCGGUAAUACGUAGGGGGCUAGCGUUAUCCGGAUUUACUGGGCGUAAAGGGUGCGUAGGCGGUCUUUCAAGUCAGGAGUGAAAGGCUACGGCUCAACCGUAGUAAGCUCUUGAAACUGGGAGACUUGAGUGCAGGAGAGGAGAGUGGAAUUCCUAGUGUAGCGGUGAAAUGCGUAGAUAUUAGGAGGAACACCAGUUGCGAAGGCGGCUCUCUGGACUGUAACUGACGCUGAGGCACGAAAGCGUGGGGAGCAAACAGGAUUAGAUACCCUGGUAGUCCACGCUGUAAACGAUGAGUACUAGGUGUCGGGGGUUACCCCCUUCGGUGCCGCAGCUA
rnacentral:rRNA from 1 species